rnacentral:sRNA from 1 species
GAAAAAUGCUUAAUCUGAAAAGAGCGGGGGAACCAAUCGUACAAGUUAUGUACAUGGGGUGAAUCCUUUUAAAAAGGUAGGGUUAUUCCUAGACCCGAAUCCGUCAGCUAACCUCGUAAGCAAUUGGGA